GUCUAGUCGAUCAAAUAGAAGGGGGCGACCAAGAGUUCAUUCCCCAAACCCUAGUUCUUACAAAUCAUUCAAAUUGAAGGAUUAAAUCAGUUCCAAAGCGAAAUCAGAGCCUAGUUUCAUGAUCUCCUCAUCAAAGGGAUCAUAAGAUAUUGAUAAUGUGAAAAUUGAUAUGAACAUGCUUAAUAAGGAAUCCGGAUCGUCAAGUGGACAAGCCGGUGGAGAUACGCGUUUGAAGAGGGUGCUUUAAAG
rnacentral:lncRNA from 1 species